rnacentral:rRNA from 1 species
AGUGAACGCUGGCGGUAGGCCUAACACAUGCAAGUCGAACGGCAGCACAGUAAGAGCCUGCUCUUACGGGUGGCGAGUGGCGGACGGGUGAGGAAUACAUCGGAAUCUACUUUUUCGUGGGGGAUAACGUAGGGAAACUUACGCUAAUAUCGCAUACGACCUACGGGUGAAAGCAGGGGAUCUUCGGACCUUGCGCGAUUGAAUGAGCCGAUGACGGAUUAGCUAGUUGGCGGGGUAAAGGCCCACCAAGGCGACGAUCCGUAGCUGGUCUGAGAGGAUGAUCAGCCACACUGGAACUGAGACACGGUCCAGACUCCUACGGGAGGCAGCAGUGGGGAAUAUUGGACAAUGGGCGCAAGCCUGAUCCAGCCAUACCGCGUGGGUGAAGAAGGCCUUCGGGUUGUAAAGCCCUUUUGUUGGGAAAGAAAAGCAGCAGGUUAAUACCCCGCUGUUCUGACGGUACCCAAAGAAUAAGCACCGGCUAACUUCGUG